rnacentral:tRNA from 1 species
UCUUCAAUAGCUCAAUCGGUAGAGCAUAUGGCUGUUAACCAUAGUGUUGUUGGUUCAAGUCCAAUUUGGGGAG